rnacentral:rRNA from 1 species
AAAGAUUAAGCCAAGCAUGUCUAAGUAUAAGCAAUCUAUACGGUGAAACUGCGAAUGGCUCAUUAAAUCAGUUAUCGUUUAUUUGAUAGUACCUAACCUACUUGGAUAACCGUGGUAAUUCUAGAGCUAAUACAUGCUAAAAACCUCGACUUCGGAAGGGGUGUAUUUAUUAGAUAAAAAACCAAUGCCCUUCGGGGCUCCUUGGUGAUUCAUAAUAACUCAACGAAUCGCAUGGCCUUGCGCCGGCGAUGGUUCAUUCAAAUUUCUGCCCUAUCAACUUUCGAUGGUAGGAUAGUGGCCUACCAUGGUGUUAACGGGUAACGGGGAAUUAGGGUUCGAUUCCGGAGAGGGAGCCUGAGAAACGGCUACCACAUCCAAGGAAGGCAGCAGGCGCGCAAAUUACCCAAUCCCGACACGGGGAGGUAGUGACAAUAAAUACCGAUACAGGGCCCUUUCGGGUCUUGUAAUUGGAAUGAGUACAAUUAAUCCUUAACGAGAACAAUUUU